AUAGGUGCGACCUGAGAUGUUUUCAAAAUCUCGCAUCACUUCCGAUUGAUUUGCUUUUCAAACAGCGAGACACAGCUUGACAUCACAAAGCUGCGAGAAGCAGCAGUUCAUGUGUGCUAAACUUUAUCAUUCAUUUGUUGGAUACUCAAGAGAAUACAGCAUAAUAGUUUCAAGAAGAACCAAGGCGAACCAAACGUGCCAAGGUAAAUAUAGUGUGUGCGAUAUAACAAGCUCUCAGGCCUGUAAUUUCCAUUUAAAAAUAUGGUUGAAUUAACUGC